GAGAAUACCAUGUUUUUCUGUUACCUAAUUGCCUAUAUGAAGACUAUGUGAAAUUUUUUUGUCAGCUUGUGCUUAAGUGUUACAGCCUUGUAAUAUAAAUUAACGUGCUUACAUAAAAACAACUUACGAUAUGUAUAUUAAACAAGUAUAAGAACUUCUCACUGAAACGACCACAGAAUACGUCACAUAUAUCACAGACAUACCAGAGGAGGAUGUCGAGCAGGCUUUAAUUCACGGUUAUGGUCGAUACACGACCCAGUCCUUCUUAUAUGAUAAUCACCAAUAUGAGAAAGCUUUCCCCGCGGACUUCGAAAGAUGCUACGACGACAUGAUAAAGUGCAACACUGCCGUAAUUGUUCCUAAACCUGUCUGUGUCUACAACGAUCCAAGCGAUAUGGAUGAGGGUUAUAGGCUUUUCUUGACAUACUGUGACGCAUAUUUCGACAAUUGCCUAAGAGGAAUGAGAUUUUGGCGUAUACUGGAUUUUGGUCGAUGCGUAAUGAAUUAUCAAGCUAAAGAAUUACAAUCUAUUAUAAAAACCAGAAAAAAGUAUGGAACGAGUUUUAGAGAACUCUAUGAAUUCAUAUCAUCAAACAAGGAAUAAAAUGAUUGGGGAUAUAUCUUGAUAUCAUAAUAAUAUAGUAUAAAUCAAAGAGAUAAUAAAUUAAAUAUCGGAAA